GUCUAUGGCCAUACCACCCUGAAUGCACCCAAUCUUGUCUGAUCUCGGAAGCUAAGCAGGGUUGGGCCCAGUUAGUACUUGGAAGGGAGAUAUUAAUCUGUAUAUUUUUACUAUAUACU
ensembl:rRNA 5S_rRNA 5S ribosomal RNA